rnacentral:rRNA from 1 species
GACGGAGGUGGCAAACGUUGCUCGGAAUCACUGGGCUUAAAGGGCGUGUAGGCGGUUUCUUAAGUCGGAUGUGAAAGACCUCGGCUUAACCGAGGAACGGCACCCGAUACUGAGAGGCUAGAGUGCGAGAGGGGCAAGUGGAACUCCAGGUGUAGCGGUGAAAUGCGUAGAUAUCUGGAGGAACGCCGGUGGCGAAAGCGACUUGCUGGCUCGCAACUGACGCUGAGGCGCGAAAGCCAGGGGAGCGAACGGGAUUAGAUACCCCGGUA